AGCUGGGAAGAAAACCCAGGGUCAGUGCCGAGGACGAAUGCCCGCCAAGCACCCCUUUCUGCCAAGAGGUCUCAGAGCCUACCUAGGGCCAGUAUGGCUGUCCACCUGGGCAAGCAUGUGGAAGAACCAUGGACACCUGGUCCCUCUUGAGUAAAGGAAUCGGACGUAAAACCAACCCCGUGGCUUUGGGUCUGUGUGUGGAUGAGGAGACAAGGGUUAACGCGUAUUGGAUGGUCAACGGGAAUUAGGAGGACACAGGCCCGGCUAUGGUCCCAUGAGAAGUCACCCCAUUCCAGCCACCAGAGCACAAUCACCUGGUCCUGGUGCAGCGUGACGCUCAGGGAGGAGUUGAUGGGCAGGAUCAGCGCUUCAUCUCGCUUCCCCCCUGAAACAACAACCGAAGCAAUACAGCCGAGGGCGUUUACCAGGAAUCAUGUGCCUAUGUGGCUGGUGGUCUAUCUCCUCCACCUGCUUGUCCGCCCAGAGGAGUCCGGGUCCUGACCGUGUCCCAGAUGGUACCGAUCAGAACGGCCCCUCUGCCCAGGACUCCCGCGACCCCAAGCACAGUCAAAUCUCCCAGAAAGGGCUGGAGCAAUGGCUCAGUGGUUAAGAGCACCGACUGCUCUUCCAAAGGUCCUGAGUUCAAAUCCUAGCA